rnacentral:rRNA from 2 species
CGGCGAGUGAAGCGGCAACAGCUCAAAUUUGAAAUCUGGCGUCUUUGGCGUCCGAGUUGUAAUUUGCAGAGGGCGCUUUGGCAUUGGCAGCGGUCCAAGUUCCUUGGAACAGGACGUCACAGAGGGUGAGAAUCCCGUACGUGGUCGCUAGCCUUUACCGUGUAAAGCCCCUUCGACGAGUCGAGUUGUUUGGGAAUGCAGCUCUAAAUGGGAGGUAAAUUUCUUCUAAAGCUAAAUACUGGCCAGAGACCGAUAGCGCACAAGUAGAGUGAUCGAAAGAUGAAAAGCACUUUGGAAAGAGAGUUAAAAAGCACGUGAAAUUGUUGAAAGGGAAGCGCUUGCAGCCAGACUUGCCUGUAGUUGCUCAUCCGGGUUUCUACCCGGUGCACUCUUCUACGGGCAGGCCAGCAUCAGUUUGGGCGGUUGGAUAAAGGUCUCUGUCAUGUACCUCCCUUCGGGGAGAUCUUAUAGGGGAGACGACAUGCAACCAGCCUGGACUGAGGUCCGCGCAUCUGCUAGGAUGCUGGCGUAAUGGCUGUAAGCGGCCCGUCUUGAAACACGGACCAAGGAGUCUAACAUCUAUGCGAGUGUUUGGGUGUCAAGCCCGAGCGCGUAAUGAAAGUGAACGGAGGUGGGAACCUUUCGGGGUGCACCAUCGACCGAUCCUGAUGUCUUCGGAUGGAUUUGAGUAAGAGCAUA